rnacentral:rRNA from 1 species
AUACGUAGGGUGCGAGCGUUGUCCGGAAUUACUGGGCGUAAAGAGCUCGUAGGUGGUUUGUCGCGUCGUCUGUGAAAUUCCGGGGCUUAACUCCGGGCGUGCAGGCGAUACGGGCAUAACUUGAGUACUGUAGGGGAGACUGGAAUUCCUGGUGUAGCGGUGAAAUGCGCAGAUAUCAGGAGGAACACCGGUGGCGAAGGCGGUUCUCUGGGCAUUAACUGACGAUGAGGAGCGAAAGCAUGGGUAGCGAACAGGAUUAGAUACCCUGGUAGUCCAUGCCGUAAACGGUGGGCGCUAGGUGUAGGGGUCUUCCACGACUUCUGUGCCGUAGCUAACGCAUUAAGCGCCCCGCCUGGGGAGUACGGCCGCAAGGUUGAAACUCAAAUGAAUUGACGGGG